GAUGAACGCUGGCGGCGUGCCUAAUACAUGCAAGUCGAGCGAACAGACGAGGAGCUUGCUCCUCUGACGUUAGCGGCGGACGGGUGAGUAACACGUGGAUAACCUACCUAUAAGACUGGGAUAACUUCGGGAAACCGGAGCUAAUACCGGAUAAUAUAUUGAACCGCAUGGUUCAAUAGUGAAAGACGGUUUUGCUGUCACUUAUAGAUGGAUCCGCGCCGCAUUAGCUAGUUGGUAAGGUAACGGCUUACCAAGGCAACGAUGCGUAGCCGACCUGAGAGGGUGAUCGGCCACACUGGAACUGAGACACGGUCCAGACUCCACCGGGAGGCAGCAGAAGGGAAUCUUCCGCAAUGGGCGAAAGCCUGACGGAGCAACGCCGCGUGAGUGAUGAAGGUCUUCGGAUCGUAAAACUCUGUUAUUAGGGAAGAACAAAUGUGUAAGUAACUAUGCACGUCUUGACGGUACCUAAUCAGAAAGCCACGGCUAACUACGUG
rnacentral:rRNA from 1 species